rnacentral:rRNA from 1 species
UUAAGCGACUAAGCGUACACGGUGGAUGCCUAGGCAGUCAGAGGCGAUGAAGGGCGUGCUAAUCUGCGAAAAGCGUCGGUAAGGUGAUAUGAACCGUUAUAACCGACGAUACCCGAAUGGGGAAACCCAGUGCAAUUCGUUGCACUAUUGCAUGGUGAAUACAUAGCCAUGCAAGGCGAACCGGGGGAACUGAAACAUCUAAGUACCCCGAGGAAAAGAAAUCAACCGAGAUUCCCCCAGUAGCGGCGAGCGAACGGGGAGGAGCCCAGAACCUGAAUCAGCAUAUGUGUUAGUGGAAGCGUCUGGAAAGUCGCACGGUACAGGGUGAUAGUCCCGUACACAAAAAUGCAUAUGUUGUGAGUUCGAUGAGUAGGGCGGGACACGUGACAUCCUGUCUGAAUAUGGGGGGACCAUCCUCCAAGGCUAAAUACUCCUGACUGACCGAUAGUGAACCAGUACCGUGAGGGAAAGGCGAAAAGAACCCCGGCGAGGGGAGUGAAAUAGAACCUGAAACCGUGUACGUACAAGCAGUGGGAGCACCUUCGUGGUGUGACUGCGUACCUUUUGUAUAAUGGGUCAGCGACUUAUAUUUUGUAGCAAGGUUAACCGAAUAGGGGAGCCGUAGGGAAACCGAGUCUUAACUGGGCGAAUAGUUGCAAGGUAUAGACCCGAAACCCGGUGAUCUAGCCAUGGGCAGGUUGAAGGUUGGGUAACACUAACUGGAGGACCGAACCGACUAAUGUUGAAAAAUUAGCGGAUGACUUGUGGCUGGGGGUGAAAGGCCAAUCAAACCGGGAGAUAGCUGGUUCUCCCCGAAAGCUAUUUAGGUAGCGCCUCGUGAACUCAUCUUCGGGGGUAGAGCACUGUUUCGGCUAGGGGGUCAUCCCGACUUACCAAACCGAUGCAAACUCCGAAUACCGAAGAAUGUUAUCACGGGAGACACACGGCGGGUGCUAACGUCCGUCGUGAAGAGGGAAACAACCCAGACCGCCAGCUAAGGUCCCAAAGUCAUGGUUAAGUGGGAAACGAUGUGGGAAGGCAUAGACAGCCAGGAUGUUGGCUUAGAAGCAGCCAUCAUUUAAAGAAAGCGUAAUAGCUCACUGGUCGAGUCGGCCUGCGCGGAAGAUGUAACGGGGCUAAACCAUGCACCGAAGCUGCGGCAGCGACACUUAGGUGUUGUUGGGUAGGGGAGCGUUCUGUAAGCCGUUGAAGGUGACCUGUGAGGGUUGCUGGAGGUAUCAGAAGUGCGAAUGCUGACAUAAGUAACGAUAAUGCGGGUGAAAAACCCGCACGCCGGAAGACCAAGGGUUCCUGUCCAACGUUAAUCGGGGCAGGGUGAGUCGACCCCUAAGGCGAGGCUGAAAAGCGUAGUCGAUGGGAAACAGGUUAAUAUUCCUGUACUUGGUGUUACUGCGAAGGGGGGACGGAGAAGGCUAGGCUAGCCGGGCGACGGUUGUCCCGGUUUAAGCAUGUAGGCGGAGUGACUUGGUAAAUCCGGUUGCUUAUCAACGCUGAGGUGUGAUGACGAGCCACUACGGUGGUGAAGUAGUUGAUGCCAAGCUUCCAGGAAAAGCCUCUAAGCAUCAGGUAACAUUAAAUCGUACCCCAAACCGACACAGGUGGUCAGGUAGAGAAUACUCAGGCGCUUGAGAGAACUCGGGUGAAGGAACUAGGCAAAAUGGUGCCGUAACUUCGGGAGAAGGCACGCUGGCAUUAGGUAAAGAGACUUGCUCUCGGCGCCGAAGCCAGUCGCAGAUACCAGCUGGCUGCAACUGUUUAAUAAAAACACAGCACUGUGCAAACACGAAAGUGGACGUAUACGGUGUGACGCCUGCCCGGUGCUGGAAGGUUAAUUGAUGGGGUCAGCCGCAAGGCGAAGCUCUUGAUCGAAGCCCCAGUAAACGGCGGCCGUAACUAUAACGGUCCUAAGGUAGCGAAAUUCCUUGUCGGGUAAGUUCCGACCUGCACGAAUGGCGUAAUGAUGGCCAGGCUGUCUCCACCCGAGACUCAGUGAAAUUGAACUCGCUGUGAAGAUGCAGUGUACCCGCGGCAAGACGGAAAGACCCCGUGAACCUUUACUAUAGCUUGACACUGAACAUUGAGCCUUGAUGUGUAGGAUAGGUGGGAGGCAUUGAAGUGUGGACGCCAGUCUGCAUGGAGCCAACCUUGAAAUACCACCCUUUAAUGUUUGAUGUUCUAACUCGGCCCCGUGAUCCGGGGUGAGGACAGUGUCUGGUGGGUAGUUUGACUGGGGCGGUCUCCUCCCAAAGAGUAACGGAGGAGCACGAAGGUUAGCUAAUCACGGUCGGACAUCGUGAGGUUAGUGCAAAGGCAUAAGCUAGCUUGACUGCGAGAGUGACGGCUCGAGCAGGUACGAAAGUAGGUCUUAGUGAUCCGGUGGUUCUGAAUGGAAGGGCCAUCGCUCAACGGAUAAAAGGUACUCCGGGGAUAACAGGCUGAUACCGCCCAAGAGUUCAUAUCGACGGCGGUGUUUGGCACCUCGAUGUCGGCUCAUCACAUCCUGGGGCUGAAGUAGGUCCCAAGGGUAUGGCUGUUCGCCAUUUAAAGUGGUACGCGAGCUGGGUUUAGAACGUCGUGAGACAGUUCGGUCCCUAUCUGCCGUGGGCGUUGGAAGAUUGAGAGGGGCUGCUCCUAGUACGAGAGGACCGGAGUGGACGAAUCACUGGUGUUCGGGUUGUCAUGCCAAUGGCAUUGCCCGGUAGCUAAAUUCGGAAGAGAUAACCGCUGAAAGCAUCUAAGCGGGAAACUUGCCUCGAGAUGAGUCUUCCCUGGGGCUUUAAGCCCCCUGAAGGAACGUUAAAGACUAUGACGUUGAUAGGCUGGGUGUGUAAGUGCAGCGAUGCAUUGAGCUAACCAGUACUAAUGAUCCGUGAGGCUUAACCUU